rnacentral:rRNA from 1 species
AUUGAACGCUGGCGGCAUGCCUUACACAUGCAAGUCGAACGGCAGCACGGGGCAACCUGGUGGCGAGUGGCGAACGGGUGAGUAAUGCAUCGGAACGUACCUUUCAGUGGGGGAUAACGUAGCGAAAGUUACGCUAAUACCGCAUAUUCUGUGAGCAGGAAAGCAGGGGAUCGCAAGACCUUGCGCUGAUUGAGCGGCCGAUGUCAGAUUAGCUAGUUGAGGAGGUAAAGGCUCACCAAGGCGACGAUCUGUAGCGGGUCUGAGAGGAUGAUCCGCCACACUGGAACUGAGACACGGUCCAGACUCCUACGGGAGGCAGCAGUGGGGAAUUUUGGACAAUGGUGGCAACCCUGAUCCAGCCAUGCCGCGUGAGUGAAGAAGGCCUUCGGGUUGUAAAGCUCUUUCGGCCGGGAAGAAAUCGCACGGGCUAAUACCCUGUGUGGAUGACGGUACCGGAAUAAGAAGCACCGGCUAACUACGUGCCAGCCGCCGCCGUAAAAC